CUGGGACAAUGGCGCUGUGCUCUGGGGAGCGGCACGGAACUGCCGCAUUACAGAAGAGCAGCUGCCGGGGAAGAGAGUACCUGCAAGAUGCCGGAGUUUGUAUUUCAAGAUGUGUUAUCUGGGGAAUAUCAGUAGAACACACAUCUGAACGUGAUCCCCAUCAAAGGGACCUCGUCCUAGGAAGCAGAAGAGAGAAAUGGCCAGUUUCCCCUGUAUCUAAGAGCCUGGGGACACCUUUGGCAUUCUCCACUCUCAAAGAGCCUUCCUCUGUGAGGAGCUGCAGGAACGGAGCUGGAUGGUACAGAGUGAGGAAGAAGAGUGAACAGCAGAUCUAACGGAAAGGGUUCCUCAUGACCUUGUGAGGGAAGGAUAGGAUUGAAGAAAGAAGCCUGGUGGAGGAAGCAGUCAUGUUCGAGGUCAUUUGGGAG
rnacentral:lncRNA from 1 species